GUACAUAUUUUCAACUGUCUUCUUAUUUCUAUAUAAUCUCUAACGGACUGCACAAGAUUUCACAAGAACAUAUGAUAAGUAUUUCAUAUGGUACUUUGGCAUUGAAAACUAGCUGAAGUUAUUCCCAAGUACUCCAAGUUAGAUGACAGAGCUUAGCGUUUGUAGAGAGACCUUUGCCUAAAACACCAAACCUUUGUCAAAAAUCUGUUCGAAGUUACUAUCGAUUUUGGUUCAGUAAUGAAAUCUUUUUUAUGACAGGACAACUGGUUUAUACUCGGAUUCUCCAGUGAGCCUUGUGAUGCCUGAGAGGAGAUCAAACAAGCGGAACUAAUCAGUUUGGUUAGUCUAAAGACCGUCAAACACGUUGGACAUAGCAUAUGGAUAACAUUUGUCAACUAGAUUUUUAUUCCUGUUGGUUACCAUUGGUGAGGAAAAAGAUCUUCUCUUGAGAGCAUUAUUGUUACCCCUUUGUUUUUUAAACAGACUGUCUCUGUUAGAAAGAACAAGAUUCUAGAUUUCUAGCUCUAUGUAAAAUAUGGAUCGUCGUGCUUCUCUCUCU
rnacentral:lncRNA from 1 species